UAGGAGUUCCUGCUUCAACUAUCUUCUGAUCAGAUGAUCAUUCUCUCCCGACAAGAUGUUUUCCAACUUCUGACGUGAGAAUGGCUUAAUGUAUCCAUUUUGCAAGUAUUUAUGAUGUUCUUGUCAGAUGAUAGUAAGGUGAAUGGAGAUUCAAAUAUUGGUUUCAUGUGUCCUAGUAUGAUUUCGGAGACCAUGCUACGCCAUGAACCAGAUGCCGCGAUCAACUACAUGCAAAGGACAUUGAGAGCCAAUCGAAAUAUGAAAUACAUCAUGCUUCCAUACAUUGAAAAGUAUGCUUUAUUUUCCAACUUCCGUACAUUGAAAAGUAUGCUUCCCUUUUAUCUUUAUAUAUGAACUUAUCACAUUUUGUUGCAUGCUUUAGGCAACAUUGGAUUCUUCUCGUCCUUUCUCUAGCCAAAAAAAAUGUUAUAUGUAUUUGAUUCGCUUAGGAGAUCAGAUAGAUCCUUAGCUAUCAAGGAACCGAUGCAUACGUAAGUUAAUAAUUCUUUCUUACAUGUAUUUUAUGAUAUUUUAAAUACUUUAUAAUUAGUAAUUCUGAGCGUUGGCGUUAACCUUUUUCUGGAUCCACACCUUCCCUACCACCACUAAUGAGAUAUUGUCUUCUUCUUCAUUAUUAUCGUCGAAAUUCCAUUCGAGGGUAUCAUCCACCAACUCCCCCCUUACAUUUUUGUACCCAUCUGCCAUAAUGUUCCCAGAGAUGAAAAGCAAAGAUUAGGAUCUCAAGGAACCUUGAGAAAUCCAUAGAUGAAUUGUGGAUUGAAGAACUAGAAAAAUAGUAUAAUAAGAUAGAAUACUUUUAAAAAACAAUGAUAAGAAUAAUUCUUUUGAACUGUCCUCGCACAAAACCCCCACCCAGAGGCCCAUUACAAGCCAUACACCCCAACCCCCUCCCCCUUUGAAAAUUGGAUGUUCUGAUCGAAAAUUACAAGUCUAUCGAAUGGCUUAGUGAAGGUACACAACUAAUAUAGACAGAUAAUAAAAAUAUGCAUCUACAAUAUAUUGAUUAAGAGAUGAAAGCAAUAGCUUCGUAUAAGAAUUGAUUACAAAAUAACAGAUGAAUUGAAUUUCCUUCACACUUUCACCAAGUAAAAAAAAAAAAAAGUAAAUACAAAUACAUUA